UACGUAGGGUCCGAGCGUUGUCCGGAAUUACUGGGCGUAAAGCGCGCGCAGGCGGCUUCCCAAGCGCCACGUGAAAGCCCCGGGCUCAACCCGGGAGGGUCGCGGCGGACUGGGAGGCUUGAGGCCGGUAGAGGUGGGUGGAACUCCUGGUGGAGUGGUGAAAUGCGUAGAGAUCAGGAAGAACACCCGUGGCGAAGGCGGCCCACUGGGCCGGUGCUGACGCUGAGGCGCGAAGGCGUGGGGAGCGAACGGG
rnacentral:rRNA from 1 species